UGGCUCAGGAUGAACGCUAGCUACAGGCUUAACACAUGCAAGUCGAGGGGAAACGAUAUUGGAAGCUUGCUUCCGAUAGGCGUCGACCGGCGCACGGGUGAGUAACGCGUAUCCAACCUGCCCACCACUUGGGGAUAACCUUGCGAAAGUAAGACUAAUACCCAAUGACGUCUCUAGAAGACAUCUGAAAGAGAUUAAAGAUUUAUCGGUGAUGGAUGGGGAUGCGUCUGAUUAGCUUGUUGGUGGGGUAACGGCCCACCAAGGCGACGAUCAGUAGGGGUUCUGAGAGGAAGGUCCCCCACAUUGGAACUGAGACACGGUCCAAACUCCUACGGGAGGCAGCAGUGAGGAAUAUUGGUCAAUGGGCGAGAGCCUGAACCAGCCAAGUAGCGUGCAGGAAGACGGCCCUAUGGGUUGUAAACUGCUUUUAUAGGGGAAUAAAGUGAGCCACGUGUGGUUUUUGCAUGUACCCUAUGAAUAAGGACCGGCUAAUUCCGUG
rnacentral:rRNA from 1 species